GGAGACGUCCACCUGCACCACCUCUAAGAGCGUGUUGUGAGCAGCACUGUGUCCCCUGGACUCACAUGCUGAGGUCCUAACCCCCAGCAUCCCCGAGCAUGGCGGAACUCGGAGACGGGCUUUACAGCGGUGAUCGAGAUUAAAAAGACCCAGUACUGCAAGGAGGAAGCACUUGACUUUUCCCUCCGGCGGGCUGCGUUCCGGAAGCCCGCGCGGAGCCCGAGGCCGCGCGCUUGGCGGUUUCCCCCGGGCCCUAGCGGGCUUGGUCGACCCCGGCUGCACCGCGCCGGGCCCGUCGCUGGACUUGCCCACAUUCCCUGCGCAUCUUUUAUCUGAAAGGGAAACACCAGCGAUGGCCUGCCCGCUACUUAGGAGGCUCGUGGAGCAGUUCUCACAGCCCUCGGUCACAGCUUCACGCCUCCUGGCACCGUGCUCCCCCGAUGGAGGGCAUUAGCAGGCUUUACCGGGGUCACGGGAACGUUCUGGCCUCGUUCUGAAGUCUUCCGCUGCAGGUGGAGAGUGUCAGGCCUUUCGGAGUGAGAGGAGCUGGAUGACGUCCACACAGCUGCACGCCACUUCAGGGCUGCACGCACGGGAGGCAUCGUUAACAUCACAUCUCCAAGGUGCCCCUUGGGAAGAUGUGACCGUCUGAGCAUCAGUAAGAGUUAAGAGCAGCCGCGGACGGAAACACACCUCCAUGUUCAGACCCGUCUGUCCCUCUGCCGCUCAGGCAGGACAGCGGCCACAGCAGCUGGCUGGCUGGGCGAUGCUAGGAAACCAGCUUAGUAUUUUGAAAACAGGAAAACAAGGGGAAAGAACGGAGCGUGCGCCUGGCCUUUCCUGCGUGAGCUGAACCUUGGUCAUCAAACAGUCGGUGCAGAAGCACCGCAGUGAGCAGGCCGGAGAGAAGAGGGUCUAAGAAACGAGAAGAUCUCCAUCCCGCCAACUCUAGCAGCACAACCGAGGCGCUGCUCAUGAACAGCCGGGCGUUCUGUGGUCCCAGCUGAGGCGCACGGCACCGUCUGUGGAGGGGUCUUGACAAAAAAAAAAAACUGACCCCGAGCUCUGACCUCCAGAAGCCCAGAGGGCAGAGACACUUGCUGAAAGAUAGCACGUGACUGCGGUGAGCAACACCGAGGCCUACGGGACGAAUAAUUUGGUUUCUUCAACAAAUAUAUUCCGAAGGGGAGGGAAAAAAGAAAAGGAAAAAUCGGAGAUCUCAAGAGACUUGAGAGGCGCAUCAAUCCGCUGCAAUGAUUUGACCUUCUUUGGGUCCUGAUUUGAGCAAAUGUAAAAAAUUAAGGAGACAAUCUGCAAAAUUU